UCAUGGCCUCAAUGUAGAUAGACACGUGAGCCGGCCAUUCCUUGAGUGCUGUGGGUCUGGACUACAGCGGAGCUGGCCAGGAAGAGGAGGGCGCUCCACUGGAUGACUUGUGGCCACUGACCCCAUCUAGGGUUUUUUCCGUUUGAAGUUCAAAUUCAAUAGAUCUGUAUGAUCUGAUUAAAUGUUUUUCCUUUA